rnacentral:rRNA from 1 species
AUUGAACGCUGGCGGCAUGCCUUACACAUGCAAGUCGAACGGCAGCACGGGGCAACCUGGUGGCGAGUGGCGAACGGGUGAGUAAUGCAUCGGAACGUACCUUUCAGUGGGGGAUAACGUAGCGAAAGUUACGCUAAUACCGCAUAUUCUGUGAGCAGGAAAGCAGGGGAUCGCAAGACCUUGCGCUGAUUGAGCGGCCGAUGUCAGAUUAGCUAGUUGGUGAGGUAAAGGCUCACCAAGGCGACGAUCUGUAGCGGGUCUGAGAGGAUGAUCCACCACACUGGAACUGAGACACGGGCCAGACUCCUACGGGAGGCAGCAGUGGGGAAUUUUGGACAAUGGGGGCAACCCUGAUCCAGCCAUGCCGCGUGAGUGAAGAAGGCCUUCGGGUUGUAAAGCUCUUUCGGCCGGGAAGAAAUCGCACGGGCUAAUACCCUGUGUGGAUGACGGUACCGGAAUAAGAAGCACCGGCUAACUACGUGCCAGCCGCCGCAGUAAAAC